UCUCCGUUGGUGGACCAGCGGAGGGAUCAUUACAGAGUUUUCUAAACUCCCAAACCCAUGUGAACUUACCAUUGUUGCCUCGGCGGAGCCUACCCUGUAGCUACCCUAUAAGGUUGCUACCCUGUAGCGCCCCGCCGGUGGAUUUUCAAACUCUUGUUAUUUAUAGAAAUCUGCGAGUCUUAUUUUAAAUAAGUCAAAACUUUCAACAACGGAUCUCUUGGUUCUGGCAUCGAUGAAGAACGCAGC
rnacentral:misc_RNA from 1 species